ensembl:snRNA U4 U4 spliceosomal RNA
AACUUUGCAUGGUGCAGCAGCAUUGCCAAUGAGAUUUAUCUGAGGCGUGAUUAUUGCUAAUUGAAAACUUUUCCCAACACAUAAAUGAGAGAGAAAAGGGAAAUCUCUGGCACAUAAGAAUUCCAAACCAUUUAU